rnacentral:rRNA from 1 species
UACGAAGGGGGCUAGCGUUGCUCGGAAUCACUGGGCGUAAAGCGCACGUAGGCGGCUUUCUAAGUCAGGGGUGAAAUUCUGGAGCUCAACUCCAGAACUGCCUUUGAUACUGGAGAGCUUGAGUCCGGAAGAGGUGAGUGGAACUCCGAGUGUAGAGGUGAAAUUCGUAGAUAUUCGGAAGAACACCAGUGGCGAAGGCGGCUCACUGGUCCGGUACUGACGCUGAUGUGCGAAAGCGUGGGGAGCAAACGGG